AAAUAGAUCAAUCGCCGAAGCCUGCCAGCCUAAACCACCAGGAAUUAUCGCAUUCCCUCGACAUGGCGCUCAGGCCGCAGUAAUUGGCAGCAUAACGCUGCUUAUUCCUGCCGGGUUACACAAGAAAUUGUAUGGCCUCCCACUACUUGGAAAGGCAUUACAUGACUGAUUCU
rnacentral:ncRNA from 2 species